GACGGAGGAUGCAAGCGUUAUCCGGAAUGAUUGGGCGUAAAGCGUCCGCAGGUGGCAGUUCAAGUCUGCUGUCAAAGACCGGGGCUUAACUUCGGAAAGGCAGUGGAAACUGAACAGCUAGAGUAUGGUAGGGGCAGAGGGAAUUCCUGGUGUAGUGGUGAAAUGCGUAGAUAUCGGGAGGAACACCAGUGGCGAAGGCGACUCGCUGGACAAGUAUUGACGCUGAGGUGCGAAAGCGUGGGGAGCAAACAGG
rnacentral:rRNA from 1 species